UGCGCUGACGCUUUCAGGUUACAGCACAAACUACAUUAUUUCCUCCAGUGACAGGAGAUCCUAUGCUGGAAUCUGGACAGCAUGUAUUCAAAGGUGAUUGUCGCUAGAUAGACCACCACUUGGAAAGAGUUGAAGGCAGUAAAGACUGGCUUCACGCCAGCAGGGCGCUGAUGACCAUCUGUUUUGUUUGUCAGUUCUUCAUGAUUCUGCUGACGACAAUAGCGCUACGCUGGAAACCGACGAAGUUCAUGAGCUGGAUCACAUCGAAGUUGGCCAUCUGGUCAGUAUUGGUUGGAAUUACUGGAGUAGCUGUCGCAGUUUCAAAAGGCAUUGGCGUCAUGGAAGAUAGAUUUCAUGGUUCUUCUGGUUUGGACUGGUCCUUCAUCUUGUUUAUCGCCGGACAAUGUUUAUUCUUUGUGGCUUACAUCGGCCACCAUUUAGAUUAAAAACAAAAUGUGUCAAACUUAAAGAUAUGACAUCUUUUGAUAAUGUCCAUAGUUACCAUAACCAUAGUUUAAUAUAGGCAAGGGGAGAUAACUUGGUUAAAGAGUCGUUCUAUGAUCGACAAUUAAAAGACCGAAGCCUAAAAGUAGCUUUCACUUAAUGUAAUUUUGCUCUGAUGUAUUGGUACCAUGACCUUUAACACUUUGAUGUAAACUCUACCGCGAAAAGUGACUUUUCAUUAACUCUAGAAAUACACAAAACAUAAAAUGUGCCUUCCUAUAACAAUCCUAUUUGAAAGAAAGACAUACAUAUGUUAUACUUAUUACAUACUGUAAUCAAUAAU